GAUGAACGCUAGCGGCAGGCCUAAUACAUGCAAGUCGGACGGGAUUGAGGAGCUUGCUCCUCAUGAGAGUGGCGCACGGGUGCGUAACACGUAUGUAACCUACCUUAAUCAGGGGGAUAGCCUCUCGAAAGAGAGAUUAACACCGCAUAAAAUCACACUAUGGCAUCAUAGAAUGAUCAAAUAUUUAUAGGAUUAAGAUGGGCAUGCGCAACAUUAGCUAGUUGGUAAGGUAACGGCUUACCAAGGCUACGAUGUUUAGGGGAUCUGAGAGGAUGGCCCCCCACACUGGUACUGAGACACGGACCAGACUCCUACGGGAGGCAGCAGUAAGGAAUAUUGGUCAAUGGGCGGAAGCCUGAACCAGCCAUGCCGCGUGCAGGAAGACGGCCCUACGGGUUGUAAACUGCUUUUAUACGGGAAUAAACCUACUUACGUGUAAGUAGCUGAAUGUACUGUAAGAAUAAGGAUCGGCUAACUCCGUGCCAGCCGCCGCAGUAACAC
rnacentral:rRNA from 1 species